CGGAACGAAGCUCUGAAUCGAAGCCCCAGUAAACGGCGGCCGUAACUCUGACGGUCCUAAGGUAGCGAAGUCCCUUGUCGGGUAAGUUCCGACCUGCAUGAAUGGCGUAACGACUUGGACGCUGUCUUAAUGAGAGACUCAGUGAAUUUGUAGUAUCGGUGAAAAUGCCGGUUACCCGCGAUAGGACGGAAAGACCCUGUGCACCUUUACUACAACUUGGCAUUGAUUUUUGGAUUAAUUUGUGUAGGAUAGGCGGGAGACUUUGAUGUUGUGGCGCUAGCUGCAGCGGAGUCAUCGGUGAAAUACCACCCUUGUAGUAUUAGAAUUCUAACCUUGUCCCUUGAAUCAGGGCGGGAGACAUUGACAGGUGGGCAGUUUGCUUGGGGCGAGUCCCGUCUAAAGAGUAACGACGGGGUCCAAAGGUUUCCUCAAGAUGGUUGGCAAUCAUCUUUAGAGUGCAUAGGCAUAAGGGAGCUUAACUGCGAGACCGACAGGUCAAGCAGAUACGAAAGUAGGGCUAAGUGAUCCGGCGGUAGAUUAUGGGAUUGCCGUCGCUCAACGGACAAUAGGUACUCCGGGGAUAACAGGCUGAUAGCGCUCGAGAGUUCAUAUCGACAGCGCUGUUUGGCACCUCGAUGUCGGCUCACCCUAUCCUGGGGCUGAACAAGGUCCCAAGGGUCCGGCUGUUCGCCGGUUAAAAGGGUACGCGAGCUGGGUUUAGAACGUCGUGAGACAGUUCGGUCUCUAUCUGGUGUGGGCGUUCGAUACUUGAAGGGGAUAUCUUCCUAGUACGAGAGGACCGGAAGAUACAGACCUCUGGUGUUCCAGUUAUCCUGCCAAGGGUAAUGGCUGGGUAGCCACGUUUGGAAGGGAUAAGCGCUGAAGGCAUAUAAGCGCGAAGCCAACCUCAAGAUUAGGUAUCGUGUCACUUCGGUGACGAAGGCACCUUGUAGACUACAAGGUUGAUAGGCUGCGUGUGUAAGACCAGUAAUGGUUUUAGCUAAGCAGUACUAAUAAGCCGAAUGCUUGACCUU
rnacentral:rRNA from 1 species